UUUAUGAUAGUAGCCAAACUUUCUUCUUUUAAAUUACUUCUAAUACAUGCUAUCAUAAACGUGUACUUUAUUUCUGAGUGAAUUUUAAGAUCACAAAAAAACGUUAAAAAAAAAUCUUCCGCACAGUUUUAAUUUUUAAACUUAAAAAAUGUCUGCUCUCAAAUAUUAGAGAACAAUUUACCUGCCUCAAUUUUUUGUGUGUCAAUAUCAGUCUUCUACUAAAUACGUUCGGAUAUGCCAUAGCUUCUUCUUCUUUCUUGGCAACUAUGAUUGAUUAGAUCUGGUGCUAGAGUUACUCACGACUUGGUAGAGCAUCUAUUCUUAGAAACUUCUUUUUGAGGUAAAGGUUUUCCACCUAUGGUUCUUUACUUUUGUUGCACUUCCAGUUUUUUUUUCUUUAACUUGUAUAUGAUUGGUGGGUUAGGCGUUAUAACAUAUUCAACCAUCGAAACGUACAUGACCAACUGACCCAUCUUAACUUGUCUAAGGUUGUAACCUAGGUGAUGCAAUGGCCCAAAUUAUUGUUAAGGUAUGGCUCCUUUAGUUUUAUUUUCGUAUAUCUUUCUCUCUUUAUUUGGUACUACUAUAUGCGCUUUACAAAACCAAAAAUAAUAAUAGUGGAAAUGUAUUACAGGGCUUUGGUAAACUUAAGUAUAUGGAUCUGUCUAGCACAUCCAGAAUUUAUGGAAGUUUUUGGUGGUUAGUUUUUGUUUGGUCUAAUAGUACAAAUGAAAUUAUAUGUCACAUUGGUCUCUAUUAGAAAGUUUGUCAUGAAGGAAACUUGUG
rnacentral:lncRNA from 1 species